rnacentral:rRNA from 1 species
GACGAACGCUGGCGGCGUGCCUAACACAUGCAAGUCGAGCGAGAAAGUCCCCUUCGGGGGGCGAGUAAAGCGGCGCACGGGUGAGUAACGCGUGGGUAACCUGCCCUUGAGUGGGGGAUAACCAGCCGAAAGGCUGACUAAUCCCGCAUACGACCGGCAGACACAAGUCUGUCGGGGAAAGAUGGCCUCUGCUUGCAAGCUAUCGCUCUUGGAUGGGCCCGCGUUGGAUUAGCUAGUUGGUGGGGUAACGGCCUACCAAGGCUGCGAUCCAUAGCUGGUUUGAGAGGACGACCAGCCACACUGGAACUGAGACACGGUCCAGACUCCUACGGGAGGCAGCAGUGAGGAAUAUUGCGCAAUGGGGGAAACCCUGACGCAGCGACGCCGUGUGAGCGAUGAAGGCCUUCGGUCGUAAAGCUCUGUCAGAGGAAAGAAGGUGGCGGAAUAAUACCGCCGACAUUGACGUACCCUCGGAGAAGGCACCGGCUAACUUCGUGCCAGCACG